ACCUUCAAUGGCAUUCUGCUGUGUGCUUCUGAUUCAUCACUCAAAUAAUCAGAACCCAAUUCAAGGAAUCGGUCUAACAUGCAGGGCACUAAAACAUGCUCUCCAUUGACACCAAGUUGGCCAUCCAUGUAUUGUAACCCCAACUCCAAAUUGAUCCAUCAUCUGCAAUCAAACAGUAGAAUGAAAAGAAGGCAAAUCAAAGCGGUCAAAAAUCACCUACAGAUCCCAAUUAGUCGUCAUCAAUAAGUUAAUUGUUCUCUUACUAUUAAAAGAAAUGCAGAACAAGUCAUAACAAACUCGAACUGAAUGAUACCUUUGUUAUAUAGUAGUUCUACUUCUACCAUAACACACAGUCAUUUGAAUUCAUACAAACAUAGUUUACAACAUUGACUCUUUCUUUUCUUUUCUUUUUUGAUAACUCAGGGCGUGCCUCAUCCAUGAAUGAAACAGAUUGCUACAAGGUAGACUAUGUUAAUUUGUGCAUCAAGUCUUAUACAAUACAAGCAUGCUAUUGGUAGGCUACAAUACUAGGCAUAAAGAAAAACUGAAACAUCUCAUCUAAUGAAACACAUUUACCAGCCAAAUUUCAUGAACAAGGUCAGAAUUUUGCCUUCUGCAAUUAACUUAAGAAGUAAUAAGAGUUUGCAAUUAACAGUAGUUCAUAUAAAUACUCAAGCCUUGGGAGUUUAUCAUGAGUUGUGUAUCUCAUCCUCACAAACAUCCCACCAGGGGAGACACACACACAGAGAUUGAACUAGCGUAGUUUUUAUUCUGACUUUUUAAUUAUGUGAAACACAGCAUCCCUUGGACAAUAAAAAAACACAA